CAUGCAAGUCGAGCGGACGGAUGGGAGCUUGCUCCCUGAAGUCAGCGGCGGACGGGUGAGUAACACGUGGGCAACCUGCCUGUAAGACUGGGAUAACUCCGGGAACCGGGGCUAAUACCGGAUAACUCUUUUCCUCACAUGAGGAAAAGCUGAAAGAUGGUUUCGGCUAUCACUUACAGAUGGGCCCGCGGCGCAUUAGCUAGUUGGUGAGGUAACGGCUCACCAAGGCCACGAUGCGUAGCCGACCUGAGAGGGUGAUCGGCCACACUGGGACUGAGACACGGCCCAGACUCCUACGGGAGGCAGCAGUAGGGAAUCUUCCGCAAUGGACGAAAGUCUGACGGAGCAACGCCGCGUGAGUGAUGAAGGUUUUCGGAUCGUAAAACUCUGUUGUCAGGGAAGAACAAGUACCGGAGUAACUGCCGGUACCUUGACGGUACCUGACCAGAAAGCCACGGCUAACUACGUGCCAGCAGCCGCGGUAAUACGUAGGUGGCAAGCGUUGUCCGGAAUUAUUGGGCGUAAAGCGCGCGCAGGCGGUUCCUUAAGUCUGAUGUGAAAGCCCCCGGCUCAACCGGGGAGGGUCAUUGGAAACUGGGGAACUUGAGUGCAGAAGAGAAGAGUGGAAUUCCACGUGUAGCGGUGAAAUGCGUAGAGAUGUGGAGGAACACCAGUGGCGAAGGCGACUCUUUGGUCUGUAACUGACGCUGAGGCGCGAAAGCGUGGGGAGCAAACAGGAUUAGAUACCCU
rnacentral:rRNA from 1 species